AUACAGAGGUGAUUAGCUCGUGUGAGUGGAAGUUCUGUACUUUAAGUGGGGGGAGAAUUAGGAACUAGACAGCACUGAACUAGAUCAAAAUGAUGUGCAGCAGAAACGCUUAGCUGAUUAAAUUAUCAAUUUGAAAGUUGAUAAAAAGUGAAUUCGGGGAAUCGUGUCGAACCUGAAAACCUGAUCAGUGGAACGUUAAUAGCCGUUUGUGUAAGCAAACUCGGUGAUAAGGGGCAGGGGGAGGGGGAAAUUGAUUCGAAUUAUGACGGACGACUUUGAGAUACUUGCUGAAGUUUUCAAGGCUCACAGAGUGUGACAAAUUCAUGAAUGAAUGGUCGAAACGCUCAAAAAGUGAGCUUUGGGUUAAUUUAUAAUUUACUUUAUGUCUUCUUUUAGUCGAUCAUCAACUGUAGAUUUCUUGUCGAGGGUGGAAUUUUCACGUUACAUAACGUUGCACAAGUUGAACUAAAAUCAAGAAAUGAAUUUCUCUUGGCAUUUUUGGAAUAACCAGAGGUCGACAGAGACAAGAAGGCAUGGGGGAGAACGGGGCUGGGAAGGGAACCGAACGUUACUGGAAAGAAACCCAGUGGGAGAAGGAACUAAGAAACCGCGGUAGCGGACACUUUUUGGACAUCAUGUUUUUUCUUCGAUUAAAUUUUAUACCGGGGAACCCAGUAACUUUUUUAAAAGUAGGACCGGCCUUCUGUGACUCGCCGCCCAACUCUCCCAUUCUGUGAGUUGCGUGACCGAACCCCGGCUGCUACCUGGGAACAGGCUCCGCCCCUCCUUUUGUCCCCUCUCCCCGAAAACUGUGAAGAGAGUCGAUAAGUCCUAAUAUUCUUGUUUUUAUUUAUGGCGUUCACAAUUGUACCCUUGGAAUUUUAUUACUUACCCAAACCUGAACUUCGAGGUAAUUUCGACUACAUUAUUCUGCUAGCAUCGGAUUAGACAUUCCACCGACCGUCCCAUAAAGUUAUUUUGCUCCCCGCCCCCUGCAGACAAACUAUCGAUUUCUUCUGACACCAAACAGAUCAGUUGCGGAAAGAAGGCGCAUUUGGUGCGUGGAAGAUUCCCGGGAAAAUUCUGAGAAAACCAAUUCAGAGAAAGUACAGUUUGCAAGCUUUUGUCCGAUAGCUAAUUAAGCCUGUAGAUACCAUGAGUCAAGCACCUUAUCCACCUGGUGGAUAUUCUUAUGGACCUGGACAAGGAUAUCAGUCAGGUCAACCUCCAGUUGGUUUUGCUCCAUAUGCACAACAAGGGUAUGGACAACCACCCCCUCAGCAGCAGGGUUAUGGACCCCCACCCCCUCAGCAACAAGGAUAUGGGUCCUUGGCUAUAAGUGGUAAGCGAUUAAUUAUUAAGUAAAUCAUAAUUAUUUUGUUAUUUAAUAUCUCAUCAUUAAUAUUAUGCAUGGCUGCUGUUAAUUUAAUAAACCUAAAUGUUACCAUGGUUAAACAGUUUUAUACAUGUGAAAAGUGAACUGAUCAACAUGACACGAGCAUAGGACAAAGAA